GAUGAUGCGGCCGUGACCCUGCUGGAGACUGGGGGUGACUUCCAGCCCCCCGGGGGGUCCCUGACUCUGCUCUGCCGCGGGACUGGGUUCAAUUUUGGAGAAUUUGGGAUGGGCUGGUACCGCCAAAGACCCGGGAAGGCGCUGGAAUUUGUCGCAAGUAUGCACAAGGACGGCAGAACCUUCUACACGCCCUCAGUCAAGGGCCGGUUCAGGAUCUCCAGGGACAACGGGCAGAGCUCGGUGACGCUGACCAUGAACAGCCUCAAGGACGAGGAUUCCGGCGCCUAUUUCUGUGCCAAGGGUGCUGAUGAGUUCCCCAGAUUUUUCGGCAACGGCUCCAGCCCAGCCCCAGAUCCGGCACUGAACCGCUUCUCCCAGCGUCGGCUCCAGUCAGGGGCCAGGGGAGCAGGGGGAGAUUUGAGGGACAUGGUCAAAAUUGCGGGGAAAGUCGAGGUUGGGGUGAGGAUGGAGGAGUUUGGGGGAGAAGAUAAA